CAGGACGAACGCUGGCGGCGUGCUUAACACAUGCAAGUCGAACGGGGCUGAAUAGCUUGCUAUGAAAGCCUAGUGGCAAACGGGUGAGUAACGCGUGGGCAACCUGCCGGAAAGAUGGGGACAACAUCCCGAAAGGGGUGCUAAUACCGAAUGUUGUAUACGGGGCGCAUGCUCUGUAUAUUAAAGGAUUUUAUCCGCUUUCCGAUGGGCCCGCGUCCGAUUAGCUAGUUGGGGAGGCAAAGGCUCACCAAGGCAACGAUCGGUAGCCGGCCUGAGAGGGUGAACGGCCACAUUGGGACUGAGACACGGCCCAGACUCCUACGGGAGGCAGCAGUGGGGAAUCUUCCGCAAUGGGCGAAAGCCUGACGGAGCAACGCCGCCGUGAGUGAAGAAGGCCUUCGGGCCGUAAAGCUCUGUUGCCGGGGAAGAGUGCCAUGAGGGGACUUAUGGAGGGACGGUACCCGGCGAGGAAGCCGCGGCUAACUACGUGCCAGCCGCGGC
rnacentral:rRNA from 1 species